CGCGUGAUAGGCAUGCAGUCGAGCGCUCAUCAGCAAUGGUGGGAGCGGCGAACGGCGUAGUUAAUGCAUCGGAACGUACCCUCUGGUCGGGGAUAGCUACGGGAAACUGUAGGUAAUACCCGAUAAACUCUGCGGAGCAAAGGUGAGAUUCCGCCGGAGGAGCGGCUGAUGUGAUAUUAGCUAGUUGGCGGGGUAAAGGCCUACCAAGGCGAUGAUGUCUAGGGGGUGUGAGAGCAUGGCCCCCACGACCGGAACUGAGAUACUGUCCGGACACCUACGGGUGGCUGCAGUCGGGAAUCUUCCGCAAUGGACGAAAGUCUGACGGAGCGACGCCGCGUGCGGGAUGAAGGCCCUUGGGUUGUAAACCGCUGUCAGAGGGGAUGAAAUCGUCGGAGGUCCUCCUCCGAUGUUGACAGAGCCUCAAAGGAAGCACGGGCUAAGUACGUGCCAGCAGCCGCGGUAACACGUACUGUGCGAACGUUAUUCGGAAUCACUGGGCUUAAAGGGUGCGUAGGCGGCAAAUCAAGUCAGGUGUGAAAGGCCUGAGCUCAACUGAGGCAUUGCGCUUGAAACUGAUUUGCUGGAGUAUUUCAGGGGUGUGGGGAACUGCCAGUGGAGCGGUGAAAUGUGUUGAUAUUGGCAGGAACACCGGAGGCGAAAGCGCCACACUGGGGAAUAACUGACGCUGAGGCACGAAAGCCAGGGGAGCGAACGGGAUUAGAUACCCCGGUAGUCCUGGCUGUAAACGAUGAGUACUGAGCGGAAGGAGGUUCGCCUCUUUCUGCUGUAGUGAAAACGUUAAGUACUCCGCCUG
rnacentral:rRNA from 1 species